rnacentral:rRNA from 1 species
GACGAACGCUGGCGGCGUGCCUAAUACAUGCAAGUCGAACGCUUCUUUCCUCCCCUUUGCUUGCUCUCAAUUGGAACGGGGGGUUGCGGACGGGUGAGUAACCCGUGGUUAACCUACCCAUCAGCGUGGGAUAACACUUGGUAACAGGUGCUAAUACCGCAUAACAGUUUAUGCCGCAUGGCAUAAGAGUGAAAGUCUCUUUCGGAUGUCGUUGCUGGCUGGACCCGCGGUGCAUUAGCUAGUUGGUGAGGUAACGGCUCACCAAGGCCACGAUGCAUAGCCGACCUGAGAGGGUGAUUGGCCACACUGGGACUGAGACACGGCCCAGACUCCUACGGGAGGCAGCAGUAGGGAAUCUUCGGCAAUGGACGAAAGUCUGACCGAGCAACGCCGCGUGAGUGAAGAAGAUUUUCGGAUCGUAAAACUCUGUUGUUAGAGAAGAACAAGGACGUUAGUAACUGAACGUGACCUGACGGUAUCUAACCAGAAAGCCACGGCUAACUACGUG